rnacentral:rRNA from 1 species
UCUUCGGACCUCACGCUAUUAGAUGAGCCUAGGUCGGAUUAGCUAGUUGGUGAGGUAAUGGCUCACCAAGGCGACGAUCCGUAACUGGUCUGAGAGGAUGAUCAGUCACACUGGAACUGAGACACGGUCCAGACUCCUACGGGAGGCAGCAGUGGGGAAUAUUGGACAAUGGGCGAAAGCCUGAUCCAGCCAUGCCGCGUGUGUGAAGAAGGUCUUCGGAUUGUAAAGCACUUUAAGUUGGGAGGAAGGGCAGUUACCUAAUACGUGAUUGUUUUGACGUUACCGACAGAAUAAGCACCGGCUAACUCUGUGCCAGCAGCCGCGGUAAUACAGAGGGUGCAAGCGUUAAUCGGAAUUACUGGGCGUAAAGCGCGCGUAGGUGGUUUGUUAAGUUGGAUGUGAAAGCCCCGGGCUCAACCUGGGAACUGCAUCCAAAACUGGCAAGCUAGAGUAUGGUAGAGGGUGGUGGAAUUUCCUGUGUAGCGGUGAAAUGCGUAGAUAUAGGAAGGAACACCAGUGGCGAAGGCGACCACCUGGACUGAUACUGACACUGAGGU